UUUAAAAUUAUAAAUAGUGAACAUGAAUUCCGUUUUAAUUGAUUAAACAAUUAGAUAGGGAUAAUAAAAAAAAAAAAAGAAAAGCGCUGCACAGGAAAGAAAAGGUGAGUCACUUUGCUGGAGGUGGCGUUUCAUCACCCGGUGUGUGGAAUCUGUCUUGCUUGGCUUUGUCAGUUUCCCGGGCGGCAUCCAUAUAGGCUUCCCUCUGACAUAACUUGACAUAACUGCUGUACAGGUAUAGUGUGUAGAUGUUUAGUGAUGGGCAGGUAGUCCACGACCGAGUCCUCUCGGCACCCCCAUCAUGGAAAACCCCACUCAGUUCCCCCCAACGCGUGCUCCUAUCUGUCAGCGGGAGGCUCCACUGCACCGUGGGCACUCGGGGACGGUGGCAGUCCGGCGGUCUCCCCCCCCCCCCCGAAAGUCUCCCCCAGUUGUGCCCUGGCUUUUGGUGGGGUCUCGGGUCAGCUUUUUAAGGUUUUUUUGGUGGCUCAGAGCCAGAGCUGGCAUGAAUGGCUGCCGCUCAGCUCGGCAGCCCAGCC